ACAACGGAGAAGCCUCUAUGCAAAGUAUAGUUGUUUCUUUCUUGCUAUCAUUGAUUUCUUACUAAUGCGAGGUGUACAUACUUCUUAGCAUUUUAUAGGAAACUGCAAUAUAAACCGCAAACCUUUUUAAAAAUUCUCGGCAACUUUAAAUUUCAGAGAAACAAUUUGGUCAGAGUAGACAACCUGACAGAUGAAGAGCCUGGUGGCCAGAGGAAGAAGCUGAAAACAAAAGCAACAAGCAAUGCUUGUCCUGAAGAGCUAGUUCAGCACAUUCCUUCACCAUCAAGCUGUAAUCCAACCACAGUGCAUCAAAAUAAUCCAACAGUUCCAUUCGGGAACAUUUCAAUGCGACAGAAGGCAACAACACAGCAUGCAAGGACCAAUAAUGCGAAAACCAAUCUGCAUGUUGAGGAUGGCAAUGCGAUGCUUGAAUGCAACUCAAAGGGCUGCAAGAGAAUGUUUACA